UACGGAGGGUGCGAGCGUUGUUCGGAAUCACUGGGCGUAAAGCGCGUGUAGGCGGCCCAUUAAGUCUGAUGUGAAAGCCCGGGGCUCACCCCCGGAAGUGCAUUGGAAACUGAUGGACUCGAGUCCCGGAGAGGAGAGUGGAAUUCCUGGUGUAGCGGUGAAAUGCGCAGAUAUCAGGAAGAACACCAAUGGCGAAGGCAGCUCUCUGGGACGGUACUGACGCUGAGACGCGAAAGCGUGGGGAGCGAACAGG
rnacentral:rRNA from 1 species